AGAUAAGGAAGAAACCAAGGAUAACGUUGCAACAAGAAAAGUGGAAGCCCGAGUAGGAAGUCAGCAACGCCGACAUAUUUAUUCUGGAGUGAAUAGGUACAAAUUGAAGUUAAAAUUACACUUCUCAACAAGACUUUGUUCAUGACAAUCAAAUCGCUCUAUUCUAAUGGUUUAUAUCCUCAUUUUUAAUCCUGUAGGAAUGAGAAAGGUCGAUUACAGCGAAGGGAUCGACGUCGUAGAAGACUGAAAAGCUUUGCUUUGCUAUACAAGUCGAGAGUUGCUUUAAAGUUGAGGAAUCUUUUAACUUGGUGGUCAUUCAUAGCCAAGCCAAAUACAAGUUGAAUCAAUUGCAGCGUGUGAUAGCAGUAGCACAUUCACGUAAUGUGUCACCAUCUUUGCAAUGCAAAGCACUUCUUUCAGCCAGCUACGGAUAGACGAAAGAUCGCAGUGUAUGCAAGUCCUUCCUCAUCAUGUGAACAAUAGUUAAUUUAAUCUACAGUCAGUUUUUCAAGACAGUACCUACCACCGAGGAUUCGCCAAUUGAUCUGUUUCUAUGUUAUAUUUUGCAGAAAUUCACAUUUGAAUAUCUUUCUUUCACAUUUUUUGUGGAACUCUGUGAUGUAUUUGGUCUCAGGAAUUCAAUUGAAAUAUCUUCCUUCAUUCAUGAUUUAUUGCUUUCGAUUCUGUCAAUAUCUUCAAUUCAAUUCAAAUCCGAAUCUAUCAAUUUAGGCUCUUGAGAUAUUAUUCUGUUUGUAAUUCGAAAGCUAUUAUAUACAUACAUAAAAGUCUUUUCGAAGCUA